AUAUUGUCCUUGGUCAUCACCAUCAGCAGCAGUUUUAUUUUUUCGAUUUCAGCAAACUAUGACAAUCACGUAAAUGUUACUACAUAGUAUUUUAUUUCAUGACCGAUAAAUUAAUUACAGUUAUUAGGUACCUUCUCAGUUUACGGUUUUCCACGGAUAUGCCAAAGCUAGAAGAGAAUAUGGUACUACAUAAAUGUAGAAUUUGUUUACAGAGUGACCAAAACUAUAGUAGCUUAUUUGAAAGAUUUGAGGGGGAGACUUAUUUGUUAUCUGAUAAAUUAAUGAGUUUUACUAAAAUUACAAUACAGCCUGAUGAUGGUCUUCCUCAUAUGAUUUGUUCAGCUUGUCUGAAAUGGUUUGGUUAUUGCCUUGAAUUUAUUAAAUUAUGUGAGCAUUCUGACUCCAAGCUAAGAUCUGUACAACAUGAACAUAAUGAUCUGAAUAUAAAAAACUAUUUGACAGAAGAAUCUAAUACAACUCUUUGUGAAGAUACCAAGAGAGAUGAUGGUGAUAAUAAGAGAUUACCUAAUAAAAAUAAAAAGUCUGAGAAAUAUCAAUGUUUUAGUUGUGGAAAAAUAUUGUCUUCAAGGUACCUAAUUCCGCCUUAAGACUCACUUAAUAACUCAUUCGGGUGAGCGGCCAUAUAAAUGUGCUAAUUGUGAAAAAAGUUUCUCACUAGCACAGACUCUAGAUGUUCAUAUGAGGAUUCAUACGGGUGAAAAGCCAUUUUGUUGUUCCACAUGUGGCAAAGAAUUUACACAGGCUGCAGGACUCUCAGCGCAUAAACGAAAACAUACGGGAACAUUGCCAUAUACUUGCAAACUUUGCCCAGAAAAGUUCAGAACUUCAGGACACCUGCAAUAUCAUAUUAGGAAACAUACUGGUGAGAAGAAUUUCGAAUGUGAUGUAUGCCAUCGCGCUUUUAUCACAUGUCAUGAUUUAAAACGACACAGCAUUACACACACCGGAGCAAAACCAUUUAGUUGUUCUAUAUGUGGAUUGUGUCUUACCCGUUCCUGGAAUCUUAAAAAACACCUUAAACUCGUACAUUGUAAUGAAAAUAAAGAAUUAAAAUAAAUGUUUCAUUACUA